ensembl:lncRNA
CACUGUUAGAAGAAGCAUUUGAAAGAGAGUAUCUGCAGAUUCUUAUUAAUAAUAUUUUCUCCCCUUUUCUGCUUCAAGCAGCAGAAAAGUUAAAGUGAGUCAUGUGAAGGUGUGAGCAAACCAUCUCGGGAGCAUAUUUAAAGAUGGAAGAGCAACUUUUGUACCUCUGAUAUUCCUGAUAUCCCCAUGAGCAGAACAGUACUAUCACAGGCCGUGCAGGACAGGUGGGACCAUCCGAUGGAGAGACGUGCUGCAAGUUGAAGAAAUGCAGAUGUGACAUGCUCGACGUCCCACACGGCUGUUUCACAUCCCUGUGAGGUAUCACACUUCCUUUCCUCUCCAGCCCACUGGAGAAAUGACAAUGUUGAACAGGAACACUGCUUUCUGUUUGAAUUGCAGCUAAUAGAAGGGUUUUUUUUUUUUAAUGCUG